rnacentral:misc_RNA from 1 species
GAUGAAGAACGUAGCGAAAUGCGAUAAGUAAUGUGAAUUGCAGAAUUCAGUGAAUCAUCGAGUCUUUGAACGCACAUUGCGCCCCCUGGUAUUCCGGGGGGCAUGCCUGUCCGAGCGUCAUUGCUGCCCUCAAGCACGGCUUGUGAGUUGGGCCCCCGUCCCCGGUUUCCCCCGGGGACGGGCCCGAAAGGCAGCGGCGGCACCGCGUCCGGUCCUCGAGCGUAUGGGGCUUUGUCACCCGCUCUGUAGGCCCGGCCGGCGCCAGCCGACACCCAACUUUAUUUCUAAGGUUGACCUCGGAUCAGGUAGGGAUACCCGCUGAACUUAAGCAUAUCAAUAAGCGGAGGA